rnacentral:rRNA from 1 species
GAUGAACGCUGGCGGCGUGCCUAAUACAUGCAAGUCGAGCGAACGGGCGAGAAGCUUGCUUCUCUGAUAUUAGCGGCGGACGGGUGAGUAACACGUGGAUAACCUACCUAUAAGACUGGGAUAACUUCGGGAAACCGGAGCUAAUACCGGAUAAUAUUUUGAACCGCAUGGUUCAAAAGUGAAAGACGGUCUUGCUUUCACUUAUAGAUGGAUCCGCGCUUCAUUAGCUAGUUGGUAAGGUAACGGCUUACCAAGGCAACGAUGCAUAGCCGCCCUGAGAGGGUGAUCGGCCAAACUGGAACGGAGACACGGUCCAGACCCCUACGGGAGGCAGCAGUAGGGAAUCUUCCGCAAUGGGCGAAAGCCUGACGGAGCAACGCCGCGUGAGUGAUGAAGGUCUUCGGAUCGUAAAACUCUGUUAUUAGGGAAGAACAUAUGUGUAAGUAACUGUGCACAUCUUGACGGUACCUAAUCAGAAAGCCACGGCUAACUACGUG